AAUACCCUUUCAAGCACCCUGUAACCCGAUAACACGAUAAGCUGUCCACUGUACUAACCGCUGUCGCUGAAAGGGUUAAAAUGUUUGU